rnacentral:rRNA from 1 species
GACGAACGCUGGCGGCAGGCCUAAUACAUGCAAGUCGAACGAUCCUUCGGGAUAGUGGCGCACGGGUGAGUAACACGUGGGAACAUACCCUUGGGUGCGGAACAACGUCGGGAAACUGACGCUAAUACCGCAUAAUGACUCCGGUCCAAAGAUUUAUCGCCCAAGGAUUGGCCCGCGCUAGAUUAGGUUGUUGGUGAGGUAACGGCUCACCAAGCCUACGAUCUAUAGCUGGUCUGAGAGGAUGAUCAGCCACACUGGGACUGAGACACGGCCCAGACUCCUACGGGAGGCAGCAGUAAGGAAUAUUGGACAAUGGGGGCAACCCUGAUCCAGCCAUGCCGCGUGAGUGAAGAAGGCCUUAGGGUUGUAAAGCUCUUUCAGUGGGGAAGAUAAUGACUGUACCCACAGAAGAAGCCCCGGCUAACUCCGUGCCAGCAGCCGCGGUAAAGUACAGUGU